CAAUAGCGUAUAUUAAAGUUGUUGCGGUAAAAAAGCUCGUAGUUGGAUUUCUACCGAAGAUAGCCGGUCGGGUCUUCGACCUUGUAUCUGGUUUUGUCUUUGGUAUCCUCAUAGGGAACGUUUCUGCGCUUUAUUGCGUGGUGCAGUAUCUAUGACUUUUACUUUGAGGAAAUUAGAGUGUUCACGGCAGGCAAACGCCUUGAAUAUAUUAGCAUGGAAUAAUAACAUAGGAUCUUCGUCCUAUUUUGUUGGUUUCUAGGGCUAAGAUAAUGAUUAAUAGGGAUAAUUGGGGGCAUCUGUAUCAACGCGUCAGAGGUGGAAUUCUUGGAUUGCGUUGCGACAAACUACUGCGAAAGCAUUUGCCAAGGAUGUUUUCAUUGA
rnacentral:rRNA from 1 species